rnacentral:rRNA from 1 species
GACGAACGCUGGCGGCGUGCUUAACACAUGCAAGUCGAACGGAAAGGCCCUGCUUUUGUGGGGUGCUCGAGUGGCGAAUGGGUGAGUAACACGUGAGUAACCUGCCCUUGACUUUGGGAUAACUUCAGGAAACUGGGGCUAAUACCGGAUAGGAGCUCCUGCUGCAUGGUGGGGGUUGGAAAGUUUCGGCGGUUGGGGAUGGACUCGCGGCUUAUCAGCUUGUUGGUGGGGUAGUGGCUUACCAAGGCUUUGACGGGUAGCCGGCCUGAGAGGGUGACCGGCCACAUUGGGACUGGGAUACGGCCCAGACUCCAACGGGAGGCAGCAGUGGGGAAUAUUGCACAAUGGGCGGAAGCCUGAUGCAGCAACGCGGCGUGCGGGAUGACGGCCUUCGGGUUGUAAACCGCUUUCGCCUGUGACGAAGCGUGAGUGACGGUAAUGGGUAAAGAAGCACCGGCUAACUACGUG